rnacentral:rRNA from 1 species
UACGGAGGGUGCAAGCGUUGUCCGGAAUCACUGGGUGUAAGGGUGUGUAGGCGGGACUAUAAGUCAGAGGUGAAAUCCCACAGCUUAACUGUGGAACUGCCUUUGAUACUGUAGUUCUUGAAUAUCGGAGAGGUUGCUGGAAUUCGUGGUGUAGCGGUGAAAUGCGUAGAUAUCACGAGGAACACCAGAGGCGUAGGCGGGCAACUGGACGAUUAUUGACGCUGAGGCACGGAAGCGUGGGGAGCAAACAGG